GAUGAACGCUAGCGGCAGGCUUAAUACAUGCAAGUCGUGGGGCAGCAUGACUGUAGCAAUACAGUUGAUGGCGACCGGCAAACGGGUGCGGAACACGUACACAACCUUCCUUUAAGUGGGGAAUAGCCCAGGGAAACUUGGAUUAAUACCCCGCAACAUAUAGAAGUGGCAUCACUUUUAUAUUAUAGCUACGGCGCUUAGAGAUGGGUGUGCGGCUGAUUAGGUAGUUGGCGGGGUAACGGCCCACCAAGCCGACGAUCAGUAACUGGUGUGAGAGCACGACCAGUCACACGGGCACUGAGAAACGGGCCCGACUCCUACGGGAGGCAGCAGUAAGGAAUAUUGGUCAAUGGACGCAAGUCUGAACCAGCCAUGCCGCGUGGAGGAUGAAGGUCCUCUGGAUUGUAAACUUCUUUUAUCUGGGAAGAAAAAGGACUUUUCUAAGUCAACUGACGGUACCAGAUGAAUAAGCACCGGCUAACUCCGUGCCAGCCGCCGCGGUAAGAC
rnacentral:rRNA from 1 species